UGGGGAAUAUUGCACAAUGGGCGCAAGCCUGAUGCAGCAACGCCGCGUGAGUGAUGAAGGCCUUCGGGUCGUAAAACUCUGUCCUAUGGGAAGAAAAAAAUGACGGUACCAUAGGAGGAAGCCCCGGCUAACUACGUGCCAGCAGCCGCGGUAAUACGUAGGGGGCAAGCGUUAUCCGGAAUCACUGGGCGUAAAGGGUGCGUAGGUGGCUCAUCAAGCCAGAGGUGAAAGGCAUUGGCUCAACCAAUGUAAGCCUUUGGAACUGACGAGCUUGAGUGCAGGAGAGGUAAGUGGAAUUCCUAGUGUAGAGGUGAAAUUCGUAGAUAUUAGGAGGAACACCAGUGGCGAAGGCGACUUACUGGACUGUAACUGACACUGAGGCACGAAAGCGUGGGGAGCGAACAGG
rnacentral:rRNA from 1 species